CUAGCAUAUCAAUAAGCGGAGGAAAAGAAACCAACAGGGAUUGCCUUAGUAACGGCGAGUGAAGCGGCAACAGCUCAAAUUUGAAAUCUGGCCCUUUUAGGGUCCGAGUUGUAAUUUGCAGAGGGUGCUUUGGCGUUAGUAGCGAUCUAAGUUCCUUGGAACAGGACGUCACAGAGGGUGAGAAUCCCGUACGUGGUUGCUCUACUUUCGCCGUGUAAAGCCCCUUCGACGAGUCGAGUUGUUUGGGAAUGCAGCUCUAAAUGGGAGGUAAAUUUCUUCUAAAGCUAAAUACCGGCCAGAGACCGAUAGCGCACAAGUAGAGUGAUCGAAAGAUGAAAAGCACUUUGGAAAGAGAGUCAAAAAGCACGUGAAAUUGUUGAAAGGGAAGCGCUUGCAGCCAGACGUGCCUGUAGUUGCUCAUCCGGGCUUUUGCCCGGUGCACUCUUCUGCAGGCAGGCCAGCAUCAGUUUGAGCGGCUGGAUAAAGACCUCUGUCACGUACCUCCUUCCGGGGAGGCCUUAUAGGGGAGGUGUCAUGCAGCCAGCCUAGACUGAGGUCCGCGCAUCUGCUAGGAUGCUGGCGUAAUGGCUGUAAGCGGCCCGUCUUGAAACACGGACCAAGGAGUCUAACAUCUAUGCAAGUGUUUGGGUGUCAAGCCCGGGCGCGCAAUGAAAGUGAACGGAGGUGAGAACCCUUCGGGGCGCACCAUCGACCGAUCCUGAUGUCUUCGGAUGGAUUUGAGUAAGAGCAUAGCUGUUGGGACCCGAAAGAUGGUGAACUAUGCUUGAAUAGGGUGAAGCCAGAGGAAACUCUGGUGGAAGCUCGCAGCGGUUCUGACGUGCAAAUCGAUCGUCAAUUUGUGACAUAGGGGCGACAGACUAAUCUAACUAUCUAGUAGCUGGUUACAUGCUGAUUUC
rnacentral:rRNA from 1 species